UUAAAAAGCUCGUAGUUGGAUUUCGGAUGGGCCAGUUGGUCCGCCGCAAGUGUGUUACUGACUGGUUUGCUCUUCUUCGCGAAGACUGCGUGUGCUCUUUGUUGAGUGUGCGUAGGAUUUACGACGUUUACUUUGAAAAAAUUAGAGUGUUCAAAGCAGGCUAUUGCUUGAAUACAUGAGCAUGGAAUAAUGGAAUAGGACUUUGGUCCCAUUUUGUUGGUUUCUAGGACCGAAGUAAUGAUUAAGAGGGACAAUUGGGGGCAUCCGUAUUUCGUUGUCAGAGGUGAAAUUCUUGGAUUUACGAAAGACGAACAACUGCGAAGGCACUUGCCAAGAGUGUUUUCAUUAAUCAAGAACGAAAGUUAGAGGAUCGAAGACGAUCAGAUACCGUCCUAGUUCUAACCAUAAACGAUGUCGACUAGGGAUCAGCGGGCGUUAUCGUACGACCCCGUUGGCACCUUACGGGAAACCAAAGUUUCUGGAUUCCGGGGGA
rnacentral:rRNA from 1 species